rnacentral:rRNA from 1 species
AACGAACGCUGGCGGCACGCCUAACACAUGCAAGUCGAACGCGAACGGUUCUUCGGAACUUAUUAGAGUGGCGGACGGGUGAGUAUCACGUGGGAACAUACCUUUCAGUACGGAACAACCAUUGGAAACGAUGGCUAAUACCGUAUACGUCCUUAGGGAGAAAGAUUUAUCGCUGAAAGAUUGGCCCGCGCUAGAUUAGUUAGUUGGUGAGGUAAAAGCUCACCAAGGCGACGAUCUAUAGCUGGUUUGAGAGGAUGAUCAGCCACACUGGGACUGAGACACGGCCCAG